GGAAGAGAGAGAGAGAGAGAGAGAGAGAGAGAGAGAGAGAGAGAGAGAGAGAGAGAGAGAGAGAGUGGCGUGAUAGAGAGAGAAGGAGAAGAAGAAAGAAAAGAAGGAGGAGAAGUAGAAGAGAAUGAAGGAUUCAAUACUAGGGUAUGUAUCUUUUGUAUUUGUGGUUUUUCAAUCCUCUCUUCUUUUUCUUUCUUGAGUUUUUAUAAGUUAUGGAUUGUGGUUUGUUGGUUUUCUUCUUUUCUCAUGGUGGAUUUCAAAAAACCGAGGGCUUGAACAAGUGGUGGCUAUAAUUUUUGGGUUGGUCACUUUUGUGUUCUUGAUUUUUACAGUCAAUUGAGGCUCAUUGAGAAGUUGUCGUUUUACUUAGCUUGGACCUGAGGUAGCAAAUAGGUUUAUCUAUGGCAAGCGUGGUGAUGUGGGGAGUUCUGUCGUUCUGGUGUGUAUGGCGUGGGGACAUCCUAUGGACGAGAAAUGAUCAAUUUAAAAUGCCAUUUUCUUUUAAUAAUGUUAUGUUUAAUGGGACAUUUUAAACUUAUCAGUGAGACUUGAACUUUUGGUUGUUUUAGAACUUUGCAUGAAAAUUGAUAUUUUCUUUUUAAACUAUUGGGCCCAACUUGCAUGUUUUAAGCAAGACCCCACUGAAAUCUUUAUAACA